rnacentral:rRNA from 1 species
AUUGAACGCUGGCGGCAGGCCUAACACAUGCAAGUCGAGCGGUUGACGGGAGCUUGCUCCCUGAUUCAGCGGCGGACGGGUGAGUAAUGCCUAGGAAUCUGCCUAUUAGUGGGGGACAACGUUUCGAAAGGAACGCUAAUACCGCAUACGUCCUACGGGAGAAAGCAGGGGACCUUCGGGCCUUGCGCUAAUAGAUGAGCCUAGGUCGGAUUAGCUUGUUGGUGAGGUAAUGGCUCACCAAGGCGACGAUCCGUAACUGGUCUGAGAGGAUGAUCAGUCACAAUGGAACUGAGACACGGUCCAGAGUCCUACGGGAGGCAGCAGUGGGGAAUAUUGGACAAUGGGCGAAAGCCUGAUCAAGCCAUGCCGCGUGUGUGAAGAAAGUCUUCGGAUUGUAAAGCACUUUAAGUUGGGAGGAAGGGUUGUAGAUUAAUACUCUGCAAUUUUGACGUUACCGACAGAAUAAGCACCGGCUAACUCUGUGCCAGCCGCCGCCGCAG